rnacentral:rRNA from 1 species
AGCAGCCGCGGUAAUUCCAGCUCCAAUAGCGUAUAUUAAAGUUGUUGCAGUUAAAAAGCUCGUAGUUGAACUUCGGGGUCUACCCAUUGGUCAGGCUUAAUUGUCUGCACUGGUGAGAUGGAUCUCUACCUUCUGAGGAACUUUCAUGCCAUUUAUUUGGUGUGGUUGGAAAUCAGGACUGUUACUUUGAAAAAAUUAGAGUGUUUAAAGCAGACUAUCGUCUGAAUACAUUAGCACGGAAUAAUGAAAUAGGACGGACUGAUUCUAUUUCGUUGGUUUCUAGGAUCACCGUAAUGAUUAAUAGGGAUAGUUGGGGGCAUUAGUAUUCAAUUGUCAGAGGUGAAAUUCUUGGAUUUAUUGAAGACUAACGUACUGCGAAAGCAUUUGCCAAGGAUGUUUUCAUUAAUCAAGAACGAAAGUUAGGGGAUCAAAGACGAUCAGAUACCGUCGUAGUCUUAACCAUAAACUAUGCCGACUAGGGAUCGGACGAAGUUAAUUUUAUAAUGACGCG